GGGAAAAGCUGCGGAGGGACAGACUAAAUGACAAGUUUCUCGAAUUGGGCGCUAUUCUGGAGCCAGGUAGACCACCUAAGACCGACAAGGCUGCCAUUUUGAUCGAUGCUGUCCGGAUGGUCACUCAGUUACGUGGUGAAGCCCAGAUGUUAAAGGAUUCAAAUGCAAGUCUAUCAGAGAAGAUUAAAGAGUUGAAGGCUGAAAAGAA
rnacentral:misc_RNA from 1 species